CAUAAAAUAGAUGCUAAGGCUUGGUUGAAUUUUUGCAAUAAAUUCACAAGUGUUCCCGUGCUAGCACAGAGCUGUUCUAUACAUCAUUACUUGCCCAAUUAAUCCAUUCAUUUUAAACAUGGCCUGUUUCUAACAGCCGUGUAGUGUGGGCUCUUUUCCCAUUUACUGCCAGAGGAAAAUCUGAACCAGCGCUCCACACCAUCUGCCAAAGAUUAAAAUUUCUUUAUGGCUCUGUUGCUUUUUGCUUUUGAAUAUUCAGGAUUUUUGCAGGUACCUUGUGAAAUAAGGAAAGCAAUAACAAGGGAGGUUCACCACCUUCUAGAAAAUGAAAUGUGGAACAAAUAGCCAUUAGAAAAAGUUUUAAAAGCACUGGAGCUAAUCAAGGCUUCUAUUAACUUCAAGGAUUUAGAUGCGCAGAGAUCAUAUACUCUUCGGGUAAUUUCUUUAUUUUUACUGCCCCAGUAAAUCAUGUAUCAUAGCAGCCUCUUUAUGAAAUUGUGUUUAAAAAUUUGUGCACAUAAAAAGGCCAUUAUAUUCAUGAUAAAUGGCUACAUUUCUAGUCACUGUACUGUCUUAAAACCGGCACGUAUAAUUUCACCAAUAGUGAUUAUCAGCUAAUUGAUGAUUGCAGUUUAAAUUUUAACUGCAUGGUGCUUCCUGGAUGUUGGCCAAGCACGGGGCAGGCGAGGAACGUGCGGGCUGUGAGGCGGGAACGGUACUGGAUCAGACCAGAUGAAUACCACCAGUAUGCACAAAUACAGAAAUGAGAUAGCACGAGUAACACCGAAAUGAAAUAGAAUGAGUUUGCAGAGAUAUUCAGGUAAUUCAGGGCUGCUUACGGUGGCCUGUGAUGGCAGUGCUGCUUCCUCUGCCCCUGCUUUGCAAAGAGGAUGCAAGAAAAGCCUUUUUUUCUUUACUUUUUCACAGUUAACAGUUUUAAAGCUGAAAAUGCUCAGUAUGAGGCUUACAUCAAGUCUACCUUUACUUGCUGACCUAUAUAUUACCUGUUCUGGUGCAAUAGCAAGUUACAACAUCUUUUUUCCAAACCACUAAUUGCAAAUAAGCAUUGCUGCCACAUUAUAUAAAGAGUAGCUGCUGCACAACAUCAGUCAUCAAAAUUAAAUGCAUUUAUUAAAAAUACGAAUACUCCCUCCAUAGUCAUGUCCUGGCCAGCACAUAUAGCAGGAAACCCGUGAGUCUGUGUCAGCGCUCCAGCAUUUACAUACUAUACAAACAAGAAUUAGGGGGCACGCUACUCAUUAGCCCUCUGCAUGUUAACACUGCAGCCCUGAAGGGCUGGAAGCGUCUGUUACAGUUAACAUCAUGGAAGAUCCCCUCUCUUCUCCCGAUUGUGACUUGCCAAAUCUUUGCAAUCUUGCCUGAAUUUCUCCAGACUCCGUGCUAAACGUCUGCUGGGCGAGCUUCAGCCGAGCCAAGAACAGCUACUGCCCAGUGGUGUCCGAGGGCAAGGCUGGCUGUGAACGUUUGGGAGCAGCAGCAUUGUUUUGCUGGUAUUAGAACUUACUGAGAUCUUUUCCCAGAAGACUAUUUCCACGUUCUGCAAUGAAGACCACAAAUUUGGCAGAGGAAGUGCUUUUGAGGCUACGCAUCCCACGAAAGCCUGACCGGAUUCAGGCAGCUGCCUCACUUGGGAAGAUGCUGGCUUUCCAAUGCUGGAGAAAUUAUGGUCUCCAUCACCCUCUUCGAGAUGGCUGAAGAGCUCCUCGGUGCCUGUGCCACCAGCCACCCCCGACAGCCCUGGCACGCGAGCAGAGGGGAUGCAGCUCCCACCAAAACGACUCUGCAGGCUCCAUUGGCAGCGAGCUGGAGGGUGGGAGAUGACACGGCGGCCAAAUAACAUGGGAUAAAGGGAGCUGGCCUGAGGAGCUGCCUGCCCACCGACAGGCCAGCUACAAACCAGUAGUCCUCAACAAGCAAAAUCCAUGAGAAUGGCUCCUUCUUCUGCACCUCCUCCAUUGCUGAGGCACGAACUCGGUCCCCUUAGGCAAAGCAGGCUGUAAAGUAUAGUGUGACACUAACGGGCUAUUUAGGAAAUUAAGGCAGAAUGUAUUAUUAAUAUGUUAUUCACCUGACAGAGCAGGAGACAGGAAUGGGAAGGAGGAAAAAUGGCUUUUUUUGCCUUCUCUUCACUUGUUCCUUUUAUUGUUCCUGUUUCUUUGCCUCGGGCUGUGACUGGAGAGCCCUAAUCCCAGGGGUGACAAAACCCCAGACCAGGAUGGGAAGGCUACCUGGGGCUGUAGGACAUUGGCUCUGGCAACCGCUACUGCCUCUUACGACUGACUGUGAGGGCAGCUAUUUUACCAGUGUUACUGCAAACUCUAACCACUUAAAAAUCAGGACUCGUACCUGGAAAAAUCACAAGGCUCCCAAUGCAAUUACAACCUACCUACACAGACACACAUACAUAUAGGGUACGCUCUGAGUCCUGCCUUCUCAGCUUUACAGGAGAAACAUCAGUGCAGUUGAGAUACCUCUAUCCCGAAUGCAAGACCAUUUCCAUGCAGACAGUCCUUAUUUUUCCUGCUGUUCCUGGGUGAUUUAACAUCUGACUUAGCUGUGCAGGUGGAAGGGACAGGGAAGAAAAUAAAAGACUAAAAUAGGCACGAGGUUUGUAGCUUGGAGAACGUUUCCAGUGUCAUGGCACAUCAGAUGCUCUACAUGUUUGCAUUUCAGAGGCUUUCGUAUUUUUCUUCCAAUUUCAAGGCUUGAAAAACUUGCUUUUGGAUGAAAGUCCCAGGAAUUCAGAAGCAAGCUAAUUUGUCUGAGGAGAUGAUAUGCAUUUCCUGACAACACCUGUGAAAUGUUAAAGUUUAAUUGGCCCAUACAGCUGCCACUGAUGGUAAUUUUAUUCCAGGACUAUUUCAGUUCUUUCCUACUAUAUUACUGUUUUAAUUCUGAUGUAAAAAAUCCGAAGUGCAUUUUAAAGAGAAGAAGUAAAAUACUGCAAGAGCAGUGGCUGUGAACACCUGGGUGUUCCUAACAGGCUUUGGCUGGUGUUUGCUGCAGGGUCGGGAUGGCCCAGAGGGUCCCAAACAUGCUGCCACGGCGGUGGGGAUGGCAUCCCCGGGUACCCAUGGCCCUUCCCGGGAUAAUGGUGCGGAAACCGUGGCCUUGACAGGGACACGGCAGCCAGGGGCAGCCAGACCAUGGACACUGGUUUAUUAAAUGGAGGAGACAGUGUUGCAGGUUUGUUCUGUUUCCUCCCUCUCUUCCAGUCCAUAUCCCACCGUGAACUGCCAGAAUCUUGUUUGGGAAAGAGCCAUUCAAAUGUAAACCCUUUUUCUGUCUGAGCUGCAGUAAGUGCUACAAUACUAGCGGACGCCUUACUUCAGGCUUUAGGAUCAUUCUCAGCCUUUGGUGCCAUAUAUAUUUAGCUCGUUAUUUGAUUUCCUACCAUGAAAAUAGCUCAGAGAGACCUUUCUCCACAACUGGUGCCAAUUGGUAUGGUCAGGACUAACUCGCAUUCCUGCAGAACCCCAAGCCGAAACCCAACCUCAAUACCUUGGGAAAUCUAGAAAACUGUAAUAUCUUUUAUUUUUUCCUUUUAUACACUAGCACUUACAUGAUGUGAAAGGGAGAGCUGCUUGUCAUUCCUCAAGACCUGUGCUGGAAUAUAGGUGCACAUUUCAGGAGGACAGGUCCCAAACUGUAAAUGUGCCAUUUCAGGGACUGCUACACUUACAUGAUACUGUAUUUAGGUCUUUCAUCCACCUGCACUGCAAGCAUCCUCACCGUCACAAAUCCAUACAGCUACAUAAAAGUAUUUAAACAGGGGGUGACUGCAUGCAUUUGUGGGAGGGAAUUAAGAAGGCCAGAGGAAAAACGUCCUCUUCCCAGCACAUGCUGUACUUUGUACACUGUAUUUAUCAUCAUCAGAUAACCUCUGUCCAUAGAAGCAGAGAGUUUGAGCUCACACUGACCGUGACAGCUGCCUCGGCACGGUCUGUUCCUACCACCAUCCCCUAACCCUCUAUGAUAUUUAUCUCUCCAAGGAGGAAAAGCUGUCUGAGGAUAACUAAUGGGAUUACAGCUCAAAAGCCCGGCAUUGUAAAGCAAGCAGCGCUUUAAAAAAAACAUGCUGAAAAGUUGUUUUUCCAGGAUGAUUACAUUCAAGCAAAAUAACCAUGACAAAGAUGGCAGGUAUUCAACGUAAAAAGCCUAAAUGAUUCACAACUGAGUCUAGGAAAAUUACUGCCAUAAAUUGGAGAAGAAAUGUGAAAAGAAACCUCGGGGUUCUCACGGGCGAGAUUUCAGCCCAGCAUAUGCCGUCCUGCACACCCAGCCCUGCAGCAGUGAGCUGCUCUGGGUGAAUGAGGACUGUUCAUCUGUCCAAGGAGCAGUCUGAGCAUUGGCAAUGCUCCAGAAUUGGGAAUUUUUAAAGCUUUUGAGCGAGAGAUUAUCAUCAGCACAAAAGGAAAGAGUCUUCUCUUUUUCUCUCUUCAACUUGGUGUGAAAUAAUUAAAAAACCAAAUAUAGGCGCUAUUCUUAGUUCGACGUGACCAGUAUUCCUCUUGCAUAGUGUCUUCUUCCACCAUUUAUUUCUUUCAAAGUAACGGGGCUAUGUAUCAACUACAGGGACCCAUAAUUAAUUCUGCAUGACAGCAAAAAUGUUUUGCAUUUAAAAAUAACUGAUGUGUGAGAAAAACAGAAUUUCACAAGGAGAUGGUUGUAAAGUACCUGGAUUUUUGGGGGGAUUCACAGAAAGUAUUUCAAUACGAAGCCACCCAGGCAAUAGCUUAGAAACUUCUAGCAACAGACACUUUUAUGAAGGGUGCACUGGAGGAGGUCAGACUGUCCCAGCUGGAACACCAGCCCUCCAGCCCAGGGCUGAAGGGCCUCAGAGCAGCAUCAACUCCUCCAUAACUCAGGAGCUGCUGGGGGGGGGCAGGGGACCCCCAGCCCUUCUCCCGAGCUGCACCAGAGCCCCUGCAGACACGGCACCUUGCUGCCCGCCCAGGCAGCAGCCAGAGGAGCAGCUCAGUACAUGUAAAUCAGCUGGGAGAGGUACAUUAUGAAUUUUUUCCCACUUAACUCACUAAUUGAAAUUAAAUGGAACUGAAACAUUAAUUGUUGAUGAGCUAGCCUCCAAGCCUACUAAUUUAAUGAUAAAGUGUUGUAAGGAAAAAAGCAUGUCAUAUAUAUUAAGAUAUACUGGACACGUCAGAUAUGGAUACAAAAGAUAAGCAAGACGCAUUUGCCAGUGGAAAUACAAUGUGCCUCACAUUUUACUCUCUUCUGUUGUUCACACUUCUGAAGCAACAUACAUAAUUUCUCUUUUCAAGUGUGAUAGCGUGUUAUAUCGGAUUUUAUAGAGAUACUCUAUGUGCCAUGAAAAAUUGAGACCUGCUGAUUUUUAAAAUGAAGCUUGCCUGUAAUACUAGUGCAUACUAUUUUAAAAUACAUAUUUAGCCCAUGUUUGGCUUUCAGUAAAGCCAUCUUUGGCUCUACAGAUACAACAGCACCUUUCUAGUUUAACUCAGGAAUGUAUUCCCCAGCCCCUCAGAGGUUCAAUUAAAGUUUCAUAUCUUUAAUAAACAGCAGAGUGCACUUCAAAGGAAUCGGAGAACAUUCUUGUGAAUUACCUCAGGAAGGCAAUCGGUCCCUGUAAAUAAAGCGGAGUGCACAGAGGAGCGAUGCACUGGGGUAAAGCCCUUGGCGAGGCACUUUACAAUCAGGCUGCCUAGCAAUCAUCCCAGCAUCAGCCCCAUCUCAGAACAGAAGCAGACAUCGAGCUUGAUUGUGAUAAAUGGAAGCACUUUCAGCUAGAUGACUUACUCUGGACUCAGAGGGACAGAUUUACUGCCACUAUGUUUAUAGAAAAGCAGCCUGCCCUGUAAUGGAGAGCAGAUCUGGCACAGACCCGGAAAAGGAGCUGUCUUCACCCCUCCCAGCCUAACCACGACGCUUUCUUGUUACCGACAAUGUUUCCAAACUCCCCGUCUGCAGGAACCACGUUAAUGUGAAGGGGACAGCUAUGGGCAGGAGGCUGGCAGCAACGAGCCUGUACUUUACAAGCAAGGAAAUUUUGUCAAAUACCACUAGGUGACAACGGAUCUUCUUCUAGAAGAAGUUUCUAACAAUGCAUUUCUAUUUCUGGAACAAACAGCCUAACUGUUAUCCCUUAAACAGACAAAUUUUAAUUAAUUUUAAUUGCAAAUUAACAUGCAAAUUUAUUUUUCUUAUCUACUUAAAAAUGACGACGAUACAAAUCAAUUGUCUGUAUAAAUUUAGAAAUCCUCUUUUGGUUUCUUCUUGCUUUUUUGUAUUAUUCCACAGACUACUAAAAAUAGCACUAAUUCUGCUGGGAAAUACAGGCCAAGCUAAUAGUUACCGAAACAACAAAGUGCUUUUGUUCACUUUUGAGCUGCAUAAAAUGAGCAGAACUAGUA